UGCAGUCGACGGUAACAGGUCUUCGGAUGCUGACGAGUGGCGAACGGGUGAGUAACACAUCGGAACGUGCCUAGUAGUGGGGGAUAACUACUCGAAAGAGUAGCUAAUACCGCAUGAGAUCUAAGGAUGAAAGCAGGGGACCUUCGGGCCUUGCGCUACUAGAGCGGCUGAUGGCAGAUUAGGUAGUUGGUGGGAUAAAAGCUUACCAAGCCGACGAUCUGUAGCUGGUCUGAGAGGACGACCAGCCACACUGGGACUGAGACACGGCCCAGACUCCUACGGGAGGCAGCAGUGGGGAAUUUUGGACAAUGGGCGAAAGCCUGAUCCAGCAAUGCCGCGUGUAGGAUGAAGGCCCUCGGGUUGUAAACUACUUUUGUACGGAACGAAAAGCUCUCUUCUAAUAAAGGAGAGUGAUGACGGUACCGUAAGAAUAAGCACCGGCUAACUACGUGCCAGCAGCCGCGGUAAUACGUAGGGUGCGAGCGUUAAUCGGAAUUACUGGGCGUAAAGCGUGCGCAGGCGGUUAUGUAAGACAGAGGUGAAAUCCCCGGGCUCAACCUGGGAACGGCCUUUGUGACUGCAUAGCUAGAGUACGGUAGAGGGGGAUGGAAUUCCGCGUGUAGCAGUGAAAUGCGUAGAUAUGCGGAGGAACACCGAUGGCGAAGGCAAUCCCCUGGACCUGUACUGACGCUCAUGCACGAAAGCGUGGGGAGCAAACAGGAUUAGAUCCCUGGUAGUCCCGCCCUAAACGAUGUCAACUGGUUGUUGGGAAUUAACUUUCUCAGUA
rnacentral:rRNA from 1 species